ensembl:rRNA 5S_rRNA 5S ribosomal RNA
GUCUAAGACCAUACCACUCUGAACAUGCCCAAUCUCAUCUGAUCUUGGAAGCUAAGCACGCUUGGGCCUGGUUAGUACUUGGAUGGGAGAAAUCCAUUGUAUACC